rnacentral:rRNA from 1 species
UACGUAGGUGGCGAGCGUUGUCCGGAAUUACUGGGCGUAAAGGGCGCGUAGGCGGCCUGUUAAGUCAGAUGUGAAAACCCCAGGCUCAACCUGGGGACUGCAUAUGAAACUGAUGGGCUAGAGUGUCGGAGAGGGAAGCGGAAUUCCUAGUGUAGCGGUGAAAUGCGUAGAUAUUAGGAGGAACACCAGUGGCGAAGGCGGCUUUCUGGACGAUAACUGACGCUGAGGCGCGAAAGCGUGGGGAGCAAACAGG